rnacentral:rRNA from 1 species
GACGAACGCUGGCGGCGUGCUUAACACAUGCCAGUCGAACGGAAAGGCCUCUUUCGGGGGGUACUCGAGUGGCGAACGGGUGAGUAACACGUGAGUAACCUGCCCUUGACUUUGGGAUAACUUCAGGAAACUGGGGCUAAUACCGGAUAGGAGCUCCUGCUGCAUGGUGGGGGUUGGAAAGUUUCGGCGGUUGGGGAUGGACUCGCGGCUUAUCAGCUUGUUGGUGGGGUAGUGGCUUACCAAGGCUUUGACGGGUAGCCGGCCUGAGAGGGUGACCGGCCACAUUGGGACUGAGAUACGGCCCAGACUCCUACGGGAGGCAGCAGCGGGGAAUAUUGCACAAUGGGUGGAAGCCUGAUGCAGCAACGCCGUGUGCGGGAUGACGGCCUUCGGGUUGUAAACCGCUUUCGCUCAUGACGAAGCUUUGUGUGACGGUAGUGGGGAAAGAAGCACCGGCUAACUACGU